rnacentral:lncRNA from 1 species
UCGGAAUAAAGGACUACCUAUUACUUGGUGUUCAAGUUGUAAUUUCUAUAUGAUUCAUGCCGCAAGUUUCCAUACAAUUUCCAAAGUGGACCACAGGUAUUUCCUUCUUCCAUAUUUUAAUAGAUGGUACUAUAAUUUGUUUGUCUUUAUGUAGGCCGCCAUUAAUGACCAUUGGCUCAUCAUCAGGUAAGGAAAAUGGAGAAGGGUAAAAGCAAGGUGACGUCAGACAAUUUGUUGAGAGGAGUAGAAAUAAAAGUUUAAUUUUUAAUAGUUUAUAUCUAUAUUAUUUUUAAAUAAUUAAAUAAUUAAAUUAAAUUUUUAUAAUUUUAGGGGAUCAAAGUGUAAUUUUAUUUUAUUAAUUUAAAUUUUUUAAAUUUUCUAAAGAAUCAAAACAACACUUUUCUAUUUUAGGGGAUGGCAUUCGCUUCUAGGUAAAAGACUAGCACCAUUUAGAAAUGU